rnacentral:rRNA from 1 species
AUGAACGCUGGCGGCGUGCCUAAUACAUGCAAGUCGAGCGCACGGACGAGAAGCUUGCUUCUCUGAUGUUAGCGGCGGACGGGUGAGUAACACGUGGAUAACCUACCUAUAAGACUGGGAUAACUUCGGGAAACCGUAGCUAAUACCGGAUAAUAUUUUGAACCGCAUGGUUCAAAAGUGAAAGACGGUCUUGCUGUCACUUAUAGAUGGAUCCGCGCUGCAUUAGCUAGUUGGUAAGGUAACGGCUUACCAAGGCAACGAUGCAUAGCCGACCUGAGAGGGGGAUCGGCCACACUGGAACUGAGACACGGUCCAGACUCCUACGGGAGGCAGCAGUAGGGAAUCUUCCGCAAUGGGCGAAAGCCUGACGGAGCAACGCCGCGUGAGUGAUGAAGGUCUUCGGAUCGUAAAACUCUGUUAUUAGGGAAGAACAUAUGUGUAAGUAACUGUGCACAUCUUGACGGUACCUAAUCAGAAAGCCACGGCUAACUAUGUG